ensembl:lncRNA
AAACAGAACACAUUGGCAAGAAAGCUCUACUGGAAUCUUUAUAAUCAAUAAAUCUGUUGUUUGCUGAAGGAUUAUAUCCCAAAAUUUGCAUGUUAAGCAGGUUAAAGCCAUAAUGGGUGCAUUUCCUGAAGAAGUUGGAAGUUUAAAUGAUGAAGAAUUAAUGGGAGGAAGAUUACAGCAGAGCUCAAGACAAAGAAGCAGGGAUAAGGAUGGAGUAGAGCAUUGUGGGAAAGGAGAAAAAUCAUGACGUAUCUCCAGGGGUGAGUGUUACGCAGAUUUCACAUGCACUUUUCAACAAGCUGGAGUAGAGAGAGGGAAUGAGAGCAGAUGUGAUAAGAAAAUAGAUGUCAUUUUUCCCUACACUGGAAGUAAUGUAGAAGCCAAAUGCUCCAAAUACUAUACUUAAAAAUACAAGUCACCUGGACCCUUGAAUCAGCAUUUGGAAGGUGGAUACUCUGCAUCAGCGCUAUAGCUCAGAGAUGAAGGUUUAUCUAAUGGACUGACCGGUGAUGGAAUGGAUGCUUCAGAGAUAUUUCAAGCAGGCUACAAGAAUUCCCCAGUUUAGUCCACAAAUCCAUCGUUGAUCCAGGAUGUAGGUUACAGCUGGCAAAGGAAAGGAAAUACAGAGUUCAAAGUAAGGUGAGGAGGCUCACGGCCAAAAAACCCCAUAUGCAGAGACUGCUUACGGCCUACCUUAGCCCAUAUGGAAGUUCACUGCUUUUACCAUUUAGAGGUCCCAAGAGAUCCUGUCUGGAAGGAGAAAUAAAUCCCUGUCCCCACUAACACCAGAUCCUGCUUGCUGCAUGUGGGAUAUUACUCAGCAGGCACAGCUGCUCUCGCAGGUUUAUAUAAACAUCCGAGCCCUUUCCUAAAGUCUGAGACUCUUUCUUUCUUUUGCAGCAGUUGCCUCCUAAUUUCAAGUUCCCCUAAUGUAUAAGAUCUGCAGAAACUAAGCCAAAUGUAAAUCAUGUUAAAGGGUGAAAAGAGACGGUGUUUGGGCCAGGACGCAGGAUAUCAACCAUCUGAAUACUUCCUUCAACCCACACUGCUCCAAAUGCAAUGUGCCUGAGAGAUAUAGGCACAGAGGUUGAGGCCAGCCGAAGGCAUAUUCUUCAUCAUCAUGUGGCUUUUGCCCUGAAUCCCAAUGUAAUGUCACCUCCUCAGGCAGUUACCAAAUGGAACUGGCCCCAGACUGGUCUCACCUGCCAAAUGUGUGGGAGCAGAUCCCACCACUAUUGACUACAGGUUUAACUUUGCACCGAAAACUCUCUACCCAUCAGGAUUGAGGCCAAAUAACAUUUCUCGCCUUUGACAAUGACCCAUUCUUGAUGGAAGAAGGAUGAGUGAGGAGGAGGCAGGAGUUGGUAUCAUUUGAUUGGUAGAUGAGUAAGGAAUAGGACAGGCACAUUAGCUUAUUGUAAAAGACCAAGGCUAAGAUGUUGUGCUCAUGUUAUUUCUGUUCCCUUGUCGAGGUACAAAAUCUACACACACUUCAGCAGAAAAAUCUUUUUGCCUGCAUAACGUCCGUUCUGUCUUUUAUUAGUAACAGUUCCCUGAUUUUCCUUACUCAUUCUAAUUUUAUGUUUACCCUACCCCCUUGCAUCCAGAUGGAUGAACAUGUUCCAGGCUCAGACAGAGUGUUCCAUUCCUCCAGCCACAGCAGUUCAGAGAUGGCAGUGAGACUCCAUGAAGCCAAUGAGUCUCAGGUUUGGAACUUUCAUUAGAGCACUUGAGAAAGAAGUCAUACUUUUAACUAGAGUUUCUGGAACUGCUGGCAGACAUUUUAUCAUUGCUAAAAUCUGCCAGAGAAUGGAGCCAACGCAGAGGAAAAAGUUUAUAUUAUCCCCUCUGUGGGAAGCUUGAGACCAAGGACAAAGCAUCAGUAUCUAUAUUACUUUUCUCAGGCCAUUGAACCUAGAGUUGGCAGAGCACCCAAACAUGACAUAAUAGAAUGUAUGCUGUGAGCUGUUGUAGAUCCGUGGUGAAACAGUAAGCCUCAAACAUGUGCUUGAAGCUUGUCAGUGAAUUGGAACCAAGAGCUUCUACUUGUAGAUGCAUUCAGUCUUGUUGUUUGUGAGUCUCAGGCUGGCAAACCGAAGGGUUUUCAGAGGCAUUGUUUUCUGAAUAAAAUGCUCCCUCUAAGCUAAACCUGAAGCCUCUGUAGCAGUUUACCUUGCUUCCUUACUCACAAGGACAAAUCAAUGCAGGAGUGAAGUAGUGAUCCUAAGCUCUGAAGACUUGCUUUUACUUCCAGAAUAUUCUACUUGCCAGGGAGGAUUUGCUGUACUCUGUUCUUGUUUGAGUGGUCUUCUCUGCCUCGAUCCUGGCACUAACUGUCCCUACAGUUACUCUGAUGAGGGGUCAGAACCUCCCUUUCAUUUUAUAGUAAAGCUUCCCCUACAGACUCCACUAAAUUUGUAAUAGAAAAACAACCCAGGCCAUAUUAUUUUCUCUAUGGUCAACAAUAUAAAAGUAUGUGAAGCUUUGGGGUUAGGCCAGUGCCCUCACCCUCCAAAACCCUGAAUGAUAGGCCAAAGUUCUCUCUUCUCUCUAUGAAGCCUGUAUUAUAAUCGGCCAAAUUAUCAGUUUCCAAUCUUUCUAUUCCCCAGAUACUUUUGGGGGACUUUAGACUUCAUCACCUUGGAAAAAUCACACAAAGCAGCAUGUGAUUUUUUCCAUCCUCCCACAUGUUUGUUCAUAUUUUAUAUGUAAGGUGUCAACACAGCCUGAAGUAGCCCCUCAUGACUGAAUAAGGAUACCCACGGACUUGCUGUCCUUGUGGACAUUUGCCUUCCCUAUGUAACCAGUCUUCUAACAGUUUAGAUUCCAUUUUGGUAUAUUAGGUCUUAUUACCACCCAUAUGGAGAGACAACAAAGCUGAGAUCACACAUUAUUUUAGAGUUAGUAAGAUAGCUUAUCCAAUGUUAUCUUAUAUGAAACAACAAAAAUAUUAAAAAAUUCUAGGACAAGUGUCCUCGUGCCUGUGAGUUAGUAAUAUGAAUUUUUUCAUAUAUUUCUCCAGGUGGUUUGUAUUGUAAACUACAUAAGAUUUGCAUAUUUCUCUUUUUCAGCAAAAUUUGACCUUUGGGACCCAUUCUUUUAUCUCAGAGUUUUACUAUUAAGAUUACAUUGCAUCUUUCAGUUCUUCAAUUAAACUCUGGGAAACUCUUUGUUUCCAAGAUGCCAGAUGUCCG